AAAAAGAAUUUAAAAAAGAAACUACUUCCAAUGGAGGGGGAAAAAAACCAAAGAUGUCAUUUUGAAGACUAAGUUGGGCCUGCCCCGAGCCAUGAUAUUUUCGAUCCCCUCAUAUGCAUGUGAAAGCUGGACUAUGAAUAAGGAAGACAGAAGAAUUAAGCGAUGCCUUUGAAUCAUGGUGAGGGUGAGGGUUAUUGAAUAUACCAUGAACUGCCAGAAGAACAAAUAAAUCUGUCUUGGCAGAAGUACAGCUAGAAUGCUCCUUAGAAGCUAAGAUGGCGAGACUUUACCUCAUGUACUUUGGACAUGUUAUCAGGAGGGACUAGUCCCUGGAGAAGGACAUCAAGCUUGGUAGAGGGUCAGUAUAAAGGUGGAAGACCCUCAACAAGAUGGAUUGACACAGUGGCUGCAACAAUGGGCUCAAACAUAGCAACAAUUGUGAUGAUGGUGCAGGACCAGGCAGUGUUUCGGCACCUAACAACAACAACAGUGACAGAGAUCUUUUUCUUUUUAAAAAUAGAAGAAUAUGGUAGAUGAAGGAGAUGGAGGAAUUGAAGACGGCAACAUAUUUUUCUGUCUGGAUGAGUAAAGGCAUGUGGUAUCUGCUAGAAACACAGAAGUCAAAAAGAGGGGUUGGCUCUGUGGGCAAAAGAAAAUGCUUUGCUUAGACAGUUAGGAUCAAAGGCGUCAAUGAGUCAUCCCAGUGGCAAUGACUGGCAGGUUGUUAGAAAAGGAGAAGCUAAAAAGAGAAGCAAAAGAUAGAGAUAUGGAUUGGGAAAUUAUCCACAAAGAGUGUAAAACCAUGGGAACAGUUGCAAUGGUCCAGGAAGAGAUUGUAGAAGAAAAGAGGGCUGAGGGAUGAACCUUGGAGAGGAGCAACGAGGGGCAAUGCAGGUAAAGAGGAACCAUGAAGAAGACCAAAGAGGAAUGAAUACUACUGAGGAAGGGGGACAGGCAGUUCAGUGCCACGGAAGCCAAAAGAAAACAACAAAAAUGGAGCUGUCAAGAGGCCUCCUGAGCCCUCAUCUGCUUGCUCUGCCCCGUAUGGCAGUGUGUUCUCUGGUGAGGCCCACCCUUAGGUCUGUGCACUGGGGAGGCAGCAAGAGCGAAUAUGGUCCCCAGCUGUAUCCACCAUGGCCUGCUACUCUGGCAAGGUAUUUCCAAGAGCUUGUUUCAUUUCUCGUUCUGCACCCCACUAUGGUAACCUAAGUGGAGAACUCUUUUUGAAGUGAAUAGAAGUUCUACCAAGAUGAGUGUCAUGGAGAGAAAGAAAGAGAGAAAAGAAGAAAAUCUCAAAAUGAGUACUGUGAAAACCAUUCUCUAGUGCUACAGAAUGUCAUGCCUAUAGUUGAUCUUGUCAUUACAAGUAACUUUCAAAUCGGUUGAUCCUUUAAAAUAUGAACUCUGCACAGUUAUAUACCAUUUUAAAACAUCACAAAAUAGGACAACAAGAACCACUUGACCAAGGGUCUGUGAAGAGACAAAAAGAAAACAAAACAAAUUAAAGAUUGGGGCUCUCCUACCACCUGAACUACCAAUAUGUGACACAUGACUGCUGGAAUUUUCAGCCUGUCACCUGACCUAUGGAUUUUGGACUUGCCAACCCCCACAACUGAAGUAUAGUAAGCCUGGAAUCACUCAGAGCAACAAAUUCUGAAGACGCACUAUCUGAGAAGUGAGGAAAUUCCUGUGUCUCCAAAUGGCAAUGUACACUCACACAAGGGACAUGAUGCAUCAUCAUCUGCCUGAGAAAUUCCAAGUGGCCUGGUCUGACCAGCAGAGGUGACUUACGGUCUAUGCUUUAUUUGGUUCCACCCCUUCUCCAGCUCUGUUUACUUGUGUAAGAAGAGAUUUUUAGACUUUCUAUGAAGAAGAAAUGCUUAGAAGACAUAACAAACAUAUUUAAACUUUUAGAAAUAAGAAUAAAUCUUAUCUAUCCCCUUAAAUGGAAACCCUGGUGGCGUAGUGGUUAAGUGCUACAGCUGCUAACCAAGAGGUUGGCAGUUCAAAUCCACAAGGUGCUCCUUAGAAACUCUACAGGGCAGUUCUACUCUGUCCUGUAGGGUCGCUAUGAGUCAGAAUCGACUCGACGGCAGAGGGUUUGAUUUGGUUUGGUAUCCCCUUAAAUUACACACACACAUACAUUUUAUAUAAACACGUAUAGGCAUCGAUCUAUAGUCAAAGGAAAAAAAAAAUCUCUCUCCUUAAAUGUUGUAUUUAACUUUUAAGCUAUUUGAAAAUUCAUUCAUGGAAUUUUCCAAAUUCAGUUUUGCUAGAAGACAAAAUAAUGAAGUAUGCUUUAAAAGUUAUCCCAGAAUACAACAGUGAAUAUUUUUCAAAUGAAUAUAGAAAAAAAAAAAAGUUUGUGGCUUGUGGUAGGCAGAAUAGUGGCCCAACAAAAUGUCCAUGUCCUAAUCCCUGGGGUCAGUGAACAUGCUUCCUUACAUGGCAAGAGGGACUUAGCCGAGGUGAUUAAAGUUAAGGGUCAUGAGUUGGGGAAAUUAUUCUGGAGUAUCUGGGUUGGUCCUAUCUAAUCACAUGGGUCCUUAAAAUUGGAGAACCAUUCCCAGCUAUGGUUAGAGAGAGAGUUGUCACUUUCUAUAGAAGAAGGGUCAGAGAGAUGUGAUGUGAAAAGGACUUGACCUGCCUGCUGGCUUUGAAGAUGAAGGAAAGGACUCACUGACCAAGGAAUGUGGGCAGCUCUAAAAGCUAAAAGAGGCAAGGCAACAGAUUCUGCCUUAGAACCUCCACAAUGAAACAACCCUGCUGACACAUAUAUUUUAGCCCAGUGAGACCCAUACUGGACUUCUGAUCUACAAAACUGUAAAGUAAUAAAUUUGUGUUCUUUUAAGAAAAAAAAAAAUUAAGGUUGGGUGCUUCUUCCCCCAACUACAGAAAAUUAUUUGGAAAUGCUGACAGUAUUUAAUAAUAGCAUAAGGCAAUAUGACAGUCUUGUUCACUGCUAUAUCCAGAAUGUAAAUGAUGUCUGGCACACAGGAGACUCUAAAUGAAUACAUGUUGAAUGAAUGGCUAAAUCCCUGCCACAGUAUGUGACAUAUAGGAGAUAUUCAGUAAUGUAUGUUGAAUGAAUAAAUGGGUAUAUAAAAAUUAGAUUCAUGUACUCUUCAGAAGUUUACCAACUAUGUAAUAUACAGGAUACUUAUAAAAACAAAAAUAAAAAAUGCCAAACCUAGCUCCAGAUGUCAAUGUGUGAAUAUAAUCUAUCACAAUGCAUACAGAACACUGUUUCCUGUAUAUACUUCUGGUUUUAAUGGGUAUUCCCAAACCAGCCAUAAAUUCCCAGAAAUGGUUACCUGACAUUUAAGUGUGCUUUUGAGGGAAGAAUCUUUCAUUCACUAAAUUAAAUAUUUAUUGUAUGCCUAUUCAUUGCUCAACCAUCAUCUACUGAAUAGUUUUCCUUAUUGACAUGGAUCAUACUGGGUCAUCCUUGAUAAAAGGUAUAACUUCUUGACUUUUAGUCAAAAAAAAAAACAAAA